GGUUGGGAAAGGUAAACAAAAAAAUAUUUCACAACUAUGCAUUAAUUUUCACAUAUUAACUUCUGAAGUGUCAUAGAGUGGUCUAACUAAUUUAAACUGUUUUUGCUUAUUCUAUUCAAAUUCUUGCAAAUAUGCAGAAAGUUUUCAUUAUUUCCACUUUUAGAGAUACUUGUGGGAAAGCUCUUGAUCAGUCAUUGCCACACAAACUUUCUGU
rnacentral:misc_RNA from 1 species